rnacentral:lncRNA from 1 species
CUGCCCUUCAGCAGGGAUUGGAAAAGAGAAAAAAAAAAAAAAAGAGAGAGAAAAAAACACCCUGCCGCCUGCCCGUAUUGCCACAGCGGCAGCGUUUCCUAUCGGUUUGGCGGAUAGACAGAAACAGAUUUCUGCUCCGUGACUAAACACGUCCGGUUUGAAGUUUCUGUCAAGUAAACAAGAAGGGGGCUGAAGCGCCGCCGGGAGCUGCUCCUGCCCCGCCACGGGGAUGGCUCCCAGAGCUGGGGGGGGAAAGAGAAGUGUGUGUGGGGGGGCAGAAAUGUUGCCGAAAAACCCCCAGGGAGGAGUUUGGGGUGGCCGGGGGCGCCCCGUGAGGAGCCGAGGCCCUGUGAGGCGGUUUAAAAGCCGCCUUCCCGCCAUUUUGGGUGGUGGUGAGGGAGGAGGGGAGGGGGGGCUGCCCGGGCAUGGCGCAGGCUGCUGGAGGAGGAGGAGGAGGAGGAGGAGGAGGAGGAGGAAGAGGAGGCGGGCGAGGCGCGGAAUGGCCGCUGCGCUGGCGGCUACAGAACAUGGCUCCUUCCUCCCUUCCCUUCCCUUUGUGUGUGUGAGGGCGCCCGCUACCCUGGCGCACGGGCUCAGCCAUUGCAGCCGGGGGAGGGAGAGGAGGGAGAGGAGGGAGGGAAGAGAGAAGGAGGGAGGGAGGCUGAGGGGGGAGGUGGGGAGCGGGUGGGCGCCGAGGGGGGAGCAGGGGCCGGGGGAGCAGGGGCCGGCGCGCUUCCAGCGCCGUGCCCGAGCCCCGGCGGAGCGGGCAGAGCCCCCCCAAGCUCCCGGCUCCGCAGACUUUUUAACCCCCCCACACACGCCCUAUUUUUAUUUUAUUUUAUUUUUUUUCUCCCCUCACGACCUCCUCUCCUCCUAGAAGGGAAGGAAGGGAAGAAGAGGAGAAGAGAGAGGAGAAGAAGAAAAAAAAAAAAAAAAAAAAAAAAAAGUUCCCCCGAACUGCGCCCCCGCCCGCCCGAGCUCCUCUCUGCUCAGCCGCCGCCGCUCGCCUUGUUUUCUCGCUGGCGGCUGCCGUCAGCCAUGUUACAGCCAGGCGGCUGCGGGGCCAGGGGCUCCACGGCCCCGGCCGCCGGCUCGGCUCCUCCGCCGCCUCCCUCCCGGCCCCUUCCUCACCCUCCCGCCCGCCCCACCGCAGCGCCGGCCCCGCCGCGGCUGGGGGAGCCUCUCCCGAGCAGGGCACGGCGCCUCGCCGCCCCGCCUCGCCCCCACCGCCGCGGCGGCGGCCGGGCACUGCCAGCCCCUCGCCCGCCGCCGGCCUCUCCCCACCGAGAGCCGGGCUGCGAGGCAGCGAGCCGGAGGCUGGAGGCAUGGAGAAGGGGGGGGGGGGGGCGCAGCCUUUGUGCCCGGGCAGCGGUGUCGGUGUGCUGGUGGCGGCGGCAGGCAGAGCCCGGCCCGCUGCGAGCGCGCCCGGCCGGCCCCGCCGCCCCCCCCAUGGGCUCGUACUCACCCGUGUGGGUGCCCGCACGCAGCCCUCGCUCGGCCCCCGGCCCCAGAGACGCCCGCCCGGCCGCUCGCCCCGGCCCCAGCCCCAGCGCUGCCUGGGUCGCUGCGAAGCCCAAUGCACCGCAAUGGCUGUGGGAGCGGGAUCGAUACGCAGCCUCCUCACACUCUCGGCGCUGGUAACAUUACUCUCAACACAGCCCCGCGCCCAUUGGCUGCCGCCAAGCCAGCCGCCUCGCCCAUUGGCCGCGGCCCUUCCAUUGUCCUGACCAGAGGGCCGAGCCGAUUGGGCGCGGCGCGGGACACGUCACCCGGGAGCGAAAGGGCGCGCAAAUAUAAAAGUCAGCGGAGGGAGCCGGCGGCCGGCGGGGCGCGGGAGCCUGGCGGGCGCUGAGGCGCUGCCGGCCCGCGGC